rnacentral:rRNA from 1 species
CUUGCCAUUGUUUUUUAUCAAAUUUACACAUGCAAGCUUCAACAACCCAGUGAGAUUGCCCAAAACCCCUAAACAGCCAUAAGGAGCGGGCAUCAGGAUUCAGAGACAUCUAGCCUAAGACGCCUUGCUAUGCCACCCCCACACGGGUAUACAGCAGUGAAUAACAUUAAGAUAUGAGCGAAAGCUCGACUUAGUUAUGAUAAAUGUGGCCGGUAAAUUUCGUGCCAGCCACCGCGGUUAUACGAGAGGCCAAAAACAAUGACCCACGGCGUAAAGCGUGACAAAAGUCUGUCAAAUUUUUAAGGAAAAAUUAUAUCAAAGUCGUAAAACACCUUGACUAUAAGACCACCAACAACAAAAUGACCUUAAACAAAAGACUCCUCGACCUCACGAAAGCUAAGAAACAAACUAGGAUUAGAUACCCUACUAUGCUUGGCCCUAAACAUAGAUGGCAAACACACAAUGCUAUCCGCCAGAGAACUACAAGUGAAAAACUAGAAACUCCAAGGACUUGGCGGUACUCCAUAUCGACCUAGAGGAGCCUGUCCUAUAAUCGAUAAUCCACGUUAUACCUCACCACCCCUUGCAAUUCAGCCUAUAUACCGCCGUCGUCAGCCUACCUUAUGAAAGAAACAAAGUAGACAAAACAGUUAAUAACUAAAACGUCAGGUCAAGGUGUAGCACAUGGGGUGGAAGAGAUGGGCUACACUUUCUACCACAGAAUAUACGAACAGCACAAUGAAACUUGUGCUAAAAGGUGGAUUUAGCAGUAAGAAAAACAAGAAACUUUGCCUGAAACUCGCUCUGGAGUGCGCACACACCGCCCGUCACCCUC